GCUAAUUCCGUGCCAGCAGCCGGUGUAGUACGGAGGAUGCAAGCGUUAUCCGUAUUUAUUGGGUUUAAAGGGUGUGUAUGCGGAAUACUAAGUCAGUAGGUAAAUCCGGCAGCUGUACUGUAGAACUUUGAUUGAUACUGGUAUUCUUGAAUGCAGUUGAGGUAGGCGGAAUGUGUAAUGUAGCGGUGAAAUGCUUAGAUAUUACACAGAACACCGAUUGCGAAGGCAGCUUACUAAACUGUGAUUGACGCUGAGGCACGAAAGCGUGGGGAGCAAACAGGAUUAGAUACCCCAGUAGUC
rnacentral:rRNA from 1 species